AAUGGGCGUAAGCCUGAACCAGCCAUCCCGCGUGAAGGAAGACGGCGCUAUGCGUUGUAAACUUCUUUUCCGGAGGAAUAAAAUUUCGUACGUGUACGGAACUGAAGGUACUCCGGGAAUAAGCAUCGGCUAACUCCGUGCCAGCAGCCGCGGUAAUACGGAGGAUGCGAGCGUUAUCCGGAUUUAUUGGGUUUAAAGGGUGCGUAGGCGGAUUAAUAAGUCAGUGGUGAAAACCUUCAGCUUAACUGGAGACUUGCCAUUGAUACUGUUAGUCUUGAGUACGGUCAAGGUAGGCGGAAUGUGUAAUGUAGCGGUGAAAUGCUUAGAUAUUACACAGAACACCGAUUGCGAAGGCAGCUUACUGGGCCAUUACUGACGCUGAUGCACGAAAGCGUGGGGAGCGAA
rnacentral:rRNA from 1 species